AAUAGAUACCCUGGUAGUCCACGCCGUAAACGAUGAGUGCUAAGUGUUAGAGGGUUUCCGCCCUUUAGUGCUGAAGUUAACGCAUUAAGCACUCCGCCUGGGGGAGUACGGUCGCAAGACUGAAACUCAAAGGAAUUGACGGGGGCCCGCACAAGCGGUGGAGCAUGUGGUUUAAUUCGAAGCAACGCGAAGAACCUUACCAGGUCUUGACAUCCUCUGACAACCCUAGAGAUAGGGCUCUCCCUUCGGGGACAGAGUGACAGGUGGUGCAUGGUUGUCGUCAGCUCGUGUCGUGAGAUGUUGGGUUAAGUCCCGCAACGAGCGCAACCCUUGAUCUUAGUUGCCAGCAUUUAGUUGGGCACUCUAAGGUGACUGCCGGUGACAAACCGGAGGAAGGUGGGGAUGACGUCAAAUCAUCAUGCCCCUUAUGACCUGGGCUACACACGUGCUACAAUGGACGGUACAAAGAGUCGCGAGACCGCGAGGUGGAGCUAAUCUCAUAAAACCGUUCUCAGUUCGGAUUGUAGGCUGCAACUCG
rnacentral:rRNA from 1 species